GAUCAUGGCUCAGGAUGAACGCUAGCGACAGGCUUAACACAUGCAAGUCGAGGGGCAGCAUGAACUUAGCUUGCUAAGUUUGAUGGCGACCGGCGCACGGGUGAGUAACGCGUAUGCAACUUACCUAUCAGAGGAGAAUAGCUCAUCGAAAGAUGAAUUAAUGCUCCAUAAAACAAGGGGUCCCGGCCAUGGGGAGUAUUUGUUUAAAGUAAUUCAUCGCUGAUAGAA
rnacentral:rRNA from 1 species